UUAAAGAAUUUCCAGUUUUAACGUGGGUGAGUUCACGUGUUGUUAGUUUGUGAUUGAACCAUUUCAUUUUGGUACUGGAAAAUAUGUCAAAUAUGGGGGCAGAAGCGCCAAAUACAAAAAUAGGUGACAAGCCGGUCGAGGCAGACGAUGCGAAUAAAAAUACUCCCGGUCCUCUUGUUUUAAAUAAAACGCCAAAGCGCAAAGCCUAUGAGUUAGAAGAGCACUCAGAUGAGGUUGUGGAUUUGAGUAUGAAGAAAGAUGGUUUGAGGAAGACAUUUCCAAAGGCGAAACGCUCGUAAUGUCACAGGCCGUGCAAUAAAUUUU